rnacentral:rRNA from 1 species
CGUACAAAGGUUUGGUCCUGGCCUUAUUAUCAAUUAUCUCUUAAUUUAUACAUGCAAGUCUCAGCACCCCCGUGAGGACGCCCUUUUUCCCUUUACCAGGUCAAGGAGCUGAUAUCAGGCACCACACCCAUCCCGCCCACAACAUCUAGUCCCACCACGCCCACAAGGGUAUUCAGCAGUGAUAAGCAUUGACUAUAAGCGCCAGCUUGAUUCAGUUAGAGAGAAGAGGGCCGGCUAACUAGGUGCCAGCCGCCGCGGCUACACCCCGGGGCCCAAAUUGAUAACCAUCGGCGUUAAGCGUGAUUAAAGUCUAACCUAAUUAGAGUUAAACCUUUGACCUGCUGUAAAAAGCAUUCACCAGGGAGAACCAAAAACGAAAGUUACUCUAAUCCAUGCUUGAAUACACGACAACUAGAAAACAAACUGGGAUUAGUCCCCCCCACUAUAAA